AGAAAAUGUGUGAUUUGGGGGUUAAAAGGGGGAUUUCUGAGGAGAAAAUGUGUGCUUUUGGGGUUAAUGGGGUAUUUUUGGAGAGAAAAUGCAUGAUUUGGGGUAAAUGCGUAUUUUCCAAGAGAAAAGGUGAGGUUUUUGAGUUAAAUGGGGGGUUUUCCAAGAGAAAAUGCGUGAUUUUGGGGUUAAACGGGGGAUUGUUGAAGAGAAAACGCACAAUUUUUGGUUUAAACAGCAAGUUUUGUAGAGAAUAUGCAUGAUUUUCGGUUUAAAACAGAGAUUCUCAAAGAGAAAUGCAUUAUUUUUGUUUAAAUGGGGUAUUUUUGAAGGGAAAAUGCAUGAUUUUUGGGUUAAAUGGGGGAUUUUUCAAGAGAAAAUGUGUGAUUUUCAGUUAAAUCGCGGAUUCUCAAUGAGAAAAUGCCUGAUGUUUGCAUUAAAUGUGUGAUUUUCGUAGAGAUAAUGCGUGAUUUUCAGGUUACAUGGGAGAUUUUUGAAGAGAAAAUGUGUGAUAUUCGGGAUGAAUCAGGGAUUCUUGAAGAGAAAAUGCAUCAUUUUCG
ensembl:lncRNA